rnacentral:rRNA from 1 species
AAAGUCUGACCUGCCCUAUGAUAUUUAUUAAAUGGCCGCGAUACUUUGAUCGUGCAAAGGUAGCAUAAUAAUUAGUUUUUUAAUUGAGAACUGGUAUGAAUGGUUGGACGAGGAAAAGGCUGUCUCAAUUUAAUUUAAUUAGAAUUUUAUUUUUAAGUAAAAAAGCUUAAAUGUUUUUAAAAGACGAGAAGACCCUAUAGAGUUUUAUAUAAAAUUAGUUUUUGGCGUAAAAGAAUUUAAAGUUAAAAAAUUAAUUUUGUAUUUGGUUGGGGUGACUAAAAAAUUUAAUGAACUUUUUUUAAAAUAAACCAUUGAUUUAUGAAUAAGUGAUCCA